rnacentral:tRNA from 1 species
GGCGGCGUGGCCAAGUGGCUAAGGCAAGAGGCUGCAACCCUCUGAUCCCCAGUUCGAAUCUGGGCGUCGCCU